GGAUUAGAUACCCUGGUAGUCCACGCCGUAAACGAUGUCUACUAGCCGUUGGGGGACUUGAUCUUUUAGUGGCGCAGCUAACGCGAUAAGUAGACCGCCUGGGGAGUACGGCCGCAAGGUUAAAACUCAAAUGAAUUGACGGGGGCCCGCACAAGCGGUGGAGCAUGUGGUUUAAUUCGAAGCAACGCGAAGAACCUUACCAACUCUUGACAUCCAGAGAAGUUACUAGAGAUAGUUUCGUGCCUUCGGGAACUCUGAGACAGGUGCUGCAUGGCUGUCGUCAGCUCGUGCCG
rnacentral:rRNA from 1 species